rnacentral:rRNA from 1 species
UACGUAGGGUGCAAGCGUUGUCCGGAAUUAUUGGGCGUAAAGAGCUUGUAGGCGGUUUGUCGCGUCUGCUGUGAAAUUUCGGGGCUCAACCCCGAACUUGCAGUGGGUACGGGCAGACUAGAGUGUGGUAGGGGAGACUGGAAUUCCUGGUGUAGCGGUGAAAUGCGCAGAUAUCAGGAGGAACACCGGUGGCGAAGGCGGGUCUCUGGGCAGUAACUGACGCUGAGGAACGAAAGCGUGGGUAGCAAACAGG